CUCCCAUCUCUGGUCCUCAUUAACCACGUUGGAAUGAACUUACAAGUCAUACAUAGUCUUCCUUCUUUCUGCAGAUUUCCCAAAUACAGAAAAUGGCCCUGAAGCUGCUAAUAGGACUUGUUUUGUGAGGCUCCCCCCGCCCCCGCCCACGUUGGGGGCCAUGUUCUUCACCUUUGUACUCGCCACAGGUUGUUCACCCCCCACCCACACUCCCAUUUUAUGGAUGGGGAAACUGAGGCCCCAGAGUUUGUGGUAACUGUCCCAGGAAGCGUGUGUUGGGAAUCUGAACCCAGGUUUGAUCGACUGCAGUCUGUCAUUCUCCAUUUUUGCAGCCAGAGGCAAUUUGGGGUGCGGUCAGGGCCUGUGGGGCCGUUCUGUCUCAGCUCCCACCUCUCUCCCCAGGGCUUUUCUCUCCCAAAGUUCUCAGCCCAGGCUGUGCUCUGAGGCCCCAGGGGAGCAGGUUGGGGGGGGGGGGAUGAGCGCUGUCUCCUAGGAUCUGGCUGGUGGGUAGGGGCCCAGGAACGUGCACGGAAGGGGCCUAAGGGUGAUCUCUCGCAGCGUGUGGACACCGACUCUGCAGGAGAACUGGCAUCAGUGCCCGCAGACUCUGUCCUGGCAGGUAAAUCGAUCUUUGUCAGUUUGUGACUUUGCUCCCGUCUGGAUGUCCCGCUGGUGCACUUUGAGGCAAAGAUCUCGGAUAAUGCCCCGCAGUGAGGUUUGGUAAGCCCCCGGCCUCGGGAGGACGCACGGCUGGCCUCUCCCGCAGCAGGAAACGCCGCACCUGCCCAUCCCAGGCGCCUCUGACCUCUGACCCCAGACCUGCCCCCCGGGCUGGGGCCCCGGUGACCCUGUGGUGUGGAUCAGGAGGGUGUGAGAUGCAGCGAGGAAGGCAGUGGCUUGGUCAGCUGGAGACCGGUGUCUGGGUCUGGUCCCACUGAGGAAUCACGGUGUGACCCGGGCAAGCGGUUUGCGCCAUAAAAGUGACUCGCCCCAGAUAUGGGCUCGGUCGUGUGCCCUGUGUCCUUUGCUGCCUGCACGCGUUUUCAUGGCGGGUUUGUCUGCACGUCUGGCUCCCGCUGGGAAUCACCUCUGGGACGGCCUCUCCGUGCUUCCGGUCCUCUGUACCUCUACAGAGGUGGCACUGGCAGCACAGCCCUGCUGGGCCCUCAGGCGGCGGCCAGAAAGUUCCGUCCUGGGUUAUUUGUUCAGACACAGUCCAGGCACUGCUGUGAAGGGACUUUGCAGACGAAAUCAAGGCUUUCAGCCAGCUGACGUUAACGGAUUGUCCAAGGGCCCCAGGACAAUCACGUGGGCCCUUCAAAGCAGAAGAGGAAGAGGCAGAGAGAUGCGCCCGAGGAGGUCAGAGAGCUUGAAUCCCAAGAGAGACGGCCCACCGUCGCUGGCUUUGAGUGGCGGACUCCAGAAAGUGCGAAUGACCCAGCCGACAGCCACCCCAUGGGGCUCCUGAGUUUGCUGGGGGGUGGGGGGCAGGUUCAUUCUCAGGGCCUCCAGAAAGGAAGACCGUGUGGGUGACCCCUUGAUGUUGGCCAUGUGGGAUGGGGAACAGGGGAGCCCGUCACCUCCACAUGGACUUCUGACCUUGAGAACUAUGAGAUGAUGUCUGUGUUGUCCUGAGCCCCUACCUGUGCGGUGAUUCGUCACGCAGCAGGAGGAAACUCACCCAGCAGAUGAAAUGAUCGAGGCACUUAAGCGAUCGCCUAAGGCCACACAGAUAAGUGAUGGAGCUGGGGUUCGAACCGCUGGCCGGCUGAACCCACAAUUCUACGAAGUAGAUAUCAUCCCCUCGGGAGCAGGUCAAUGACAGCGAGCCCCAGGCCUGCCCUCCUUUCUAAUUAGCCAUCAGCAGGGGUCGGGCAGCAACCAAACCACAGCUCCUGAUUCCUCGGGGAUCACCCGCAGCCUGCCCCACCUCCCCGGCUGUGGUCACCUGUCAGAGUCCACCUCUUAGCAGACAAGCUGAGGGCUCGCCAGAUUCAUUUUUGCACCCCGCCUCUGGCGUCUUGUGAUAGUAGGAACUGCAUUAACAAUGUAAUACGACAUAGUAACUGCCA